GCCUCCUUAGCUCAGUGGUAGAGCAACGGUUUUGUAAACCGUCGGUCUAGAGUUCGAAUCUCUAAGGGGGCUCAA
rnacentral:tRNA from 1 species